UACGGAGGGUGCAAGCGUUAUCCGGAUUCACUGGGUUUAAAGGGUGCGUAGGUGGGUCUGUAAGUCAGUGGUGAAAUCUCCGAGCUUAACUUGGAACUGCCAUUGAUACUAUAGAUCUUGAAUAUUUGUGGAGGUCAGCGGAAUAUGUCAUGUAGCGGUGAAAUGCUUAGAUAUGACAUAGAACACCGAUAGCGAAGGCAGCUUGACUACACAAUUAUUGACACUGAGGCAC
rnacentral:rRNA from 1 species